UGAUUUAGGAGGGGCACGUAGGAAUGAAUUGAGUGUUCGUGCAGGCUAGUGCAUUGUGCCUGUGGCAAGGCCUUCUGUCUAGCAACAGGAAAGGUGGCGUAUGAAAAAUAUGAACCUUCCUGAUGAACCAGUGCUGAAAUGAUGAGAUGGAAGAACAAGAGCACAAUUCAAACACUAUCUAGUUGGCAAUUAGAACCAUGCAUUAAUGAUUAACCAGUGAAAAACAGUCGGUAUGAACUGCACAAGGGGCUGGGCUAGUCAGUUUGCGUUCAACAUGGCUGAUAAAGUGUACGACGGGACAAGUGAACUACAGUGAGUGACAGUGCAUCUGUGCCGUUGUCUGCAUUGUUUGCCAUAUUGAGAUGGUAGGAAGGAACCAAGGCCAGAUAAAAAAAAAAAAGAAAGGUCCUGCAUUUUCCUGCCCCAUCCCAGCUCUCCAUUUAUGCAUGCCGUAUUCUAUUGUAUAAUACUUACAUACAUCUAUUACUUGUUCAAACAGAUAGGUUUGGUGUUAAGACGAGAAGAAAACUUUCCGUAUUAGAAAGUAAAAUGACUGUGGCUGAUAUUUCAGCCGAGAUUCACAGCAGCGUAACUGGGCAGGUCACUUAAAGUGUAGAACAAAUAAGUACCGUACUUUCCGGUGUAUAAGACGAGUCUUUUUUUUUUUCUGAAUUUUUCGUCGGUGCGUCUUAUAGAACAGUGCGACUUAUGUACGUUUUUUUUUUCCCGGGAAAACUGCCAUCGAAAUUGGAUUCGAUGUUAUGACCACGUGAAGGGUGCAGGUUGACGUACGUAAUUUCUACGUGUUCUGUGCGCGCUAUCGAGGUGCCGAAUUCUUCUCAUGAUCGAGUUCCCUAGCGCCGUGUGAGAAGGAUGGAGCAGCAACGCAAGUAGCGGCAGGCCGACCACGACUCGGCCGACCCUGAAUUCGUAGCAUCUGCAGAUCGCUGUCAAGAUAUGGCGCGCGCCGCUGCACUAUCUACGCAGUUGCUACCAGAGUACAAACACCCCCCCCCUCCCGCACUGCCUUCCCGCUUUCCUCCCUUGUGUGCGAUUCGGCUCACCGUCAAACGCUUUCACUCGCACAUACAGCAUAUGGCGCGCGGGGACGAUGUUAUCGCUCUUUAUCGCCCUUGGUACUUUAUACGGAAUAUCGCGGCAACCACGACAGCAGAAAUGCAGCCUGGAGCGGAAAUAUAUGGCACCCAUACGCUUGCGCGUGACCCACGUUCACGGAAAGAACCGUCACGAUUUUUUAAAAAAUUGCUUACUGAACGAAGGGUCUUAUACAGCAGUGCGACUUAUAUACAUUUUUUUUCCGGAAAAGCUGCCGGUUUGAGGGGGGUGCGUCUUAUACAAAGGUGCGACUUAUAGACCGGUAAAUACGGUAGUCUAUUAAAGUCACAGAAUGAUGGUCAAAAAAAAAAGGGAAAUGCACUUGAGGGCAGCAGAGCAUAAGAUCAACUGAUUAGAUGUGCAUAUUUGGAGGUAUAGGAUCUAGUUGGCUGAUGCAGGGCAGAAGAGGCUGAAUAUCACCAGGCGAAGCCUUUGUUUUGCAGUGAACCGAAAUAGGCUGAUGAUGAAAUACCAUGAUGCAUUGUUCUUUAACAUUUGUUCUGUGCUGUUGUUCCUUGUGGCCCUCUGUUUGUGCUGGUUCAAGGAGUACUUACAUGACAUUUCUGACUUGUAACUUUUUUGCGGUAAGUGAAAGUCCAAACCAUCUAAACCCUACAAAAUAUACUGGGAUGUGUCAGAGCGCGUUAAAUCAAUUGCUAUGUUCCUGCCAACCAGUAUUUGUGUUGGUAUUUGUUUUGGUACCCUGAGGGAGGGUGCUUUGGGAUGUCUUGGUACAUUGAUUUGCUCCAUUCCUACAAUUGCUACAGCUGCCACUUUUUACGACAGUCAGGAGUAGUGCUUGUAGCAUUCACAUUCAUUUUCUUUUAUAACAGCUAUGUCUGCAAAUUUUGCUUCGUGUCAUGAUGUCACAAUAAUGUUGAUGGCCCCAUGUCCAACAUUUUGAAAGCAACCAGAGUGCAAAAAGUAUAAUAUAAAGUGUUUCCGAACUUUCGUAACUGCUAAGUAUCACCAUUCUGCAUGCGAGAUGCAUGUUGUAGAGUUUCUACAACUUUAAAAUAUGGGUCAGUACUCCUUUGACUAUGACACAUAUUUAUAAUCGACAGCUAGUCCAGCUCACCACUUUAAGUUAGAAAAAUUUGUGAAAGCAGAAUGAAGGGUCAUGUUGGCCUGGACAUUUUUUAUUGAUACAGUGAAAAGAGGUCUAGUUGGCUGAACUAGUUGUGGCAAAACACAUUUGGCUGUGUCACUUAGUGUAGUGGACAGCGAGUGUGAGGAUUGAGAAAGACGCGCAGCUAUUACUAUCAACAUUUCUGUGUUGAAUGUUCAGUAGCAAACUGUGCAACAUAGGAAGUAGCCUUGACAGGACUGGGAUAAAGCAUGUAAUGCAGCAGUGUUUACAUUGUCAACUAAGAUAUGGGUUCUCCUAUUUAAAGUGACACUUAAGGCAAAGAUUAAAUCCAUCCAUAUUGUCGGGUUACCCUUCUGGAAUCUGCAAAAUGCAGUUCUACAUGAAGAGACGACGGUUGCAGAGAAAAUCUUGACUGAAGCAGGGUGGACAGUUUUCCACAAUUCAAGUUACCUGCACCAAAAGAGCUUAUCAUGUAGCUGUUCCAGCAAUCUCGGAGGUCAUGCUUUGCCACCACACUCCUGCGUAAAGCAUUGACAGACUGGUGUAAAGAGGUAGUACUUGCGAGUCAGUCCUCUAGGAAAGUUCAGUAAGUGCUGCCAAACUGCAUUCUGUUGCAUGUUAAAGUGCAAUGUAAAUAACUUUUCUGUCUCCAGAGGUUGGCUACUAUUUGCCAGUUAUAAAUGUAAUGUUUUUAUCAGUGAAGCUGGCACUGUACUUUCAUGGCAGCUGUACCUGUUCCAUCCAACGUUCGUCUUUUUCAAACAUACGAAAGUCGUUUUGGUAUGAUGUUUAAACACCUUGCAAUAUAAAUCUGUUCUUUCAGCUUAGCCUAAUGUUUGACUUUCUCUUUGAUGCCCACAUUGACAGAAACUAGUCAAUAUUUCGUGCUGUAAUUAAAGUAGUCACUUUACUAUGAGAGUUUGUGGUUCUGCUUCGUUUGCUGCUUGAAGCCACUGUAAGAGGGAGUUUUUAGGAGGUACCAUAUUUGAACAGUGAUGGCAGUAAGUGAGAACCAUCUUGACACUGUAUUCGAUGAUGCGAUGAACACCUUUACAAAAUGCUGUUGCACUUGUAGCUGAGGUUGACUGCAGUCUCAUUGCGUGUACUGCUUGUUGUAGUCUGGAUUAACUGCCAUUUUGUGGGUUUCACACAACUCUUAGGUUUUCUCUCUGUAGCCGGUUGGUACCUGACCUCUGCAGACUGUCGGUACCUUGGGUAGGCACACUGACUGGAGUUGAAGUUGUGAUGCUGGCACUGGCAGAGCCAAUUGUUUUGGAAAACAUGUGCACUAGUCUAUUUUUACAAAGAGUGGUGUCAGUAAAGUGCUCACGUUUACUUCUGUAGCAAAUAUUUAGUCCACUGGCACUGUAUUAUGAUGAGGGUGAAAUGCAGAAAUGCUUCUGUACUCAGAUUCAGGUGCACAUUAAAGUUCUUAUGCUGGUUAUAAUUCAUAUCAACCCAAGAUAGCGUCCCUCGAAGCUCACUGUCCAGUUUCAUGACGUUGUGCUGCAUCAGUUAUCACUUGUGCUGGACCAGUGUGUGCUGGAGUGUGUGGCUCUUGUUCAGCUGCUCUGAAGGGGGCUGAAUACUUUUGAUGAUUGCAACCCUUACGAAACUUGUGCCAUUCAUCACAAUAUUUACUGAGUGACCAAGUGGUUCUCUGACUUUCGCAGAGUCUCCUGUUAAUGUCCAAAAGUGCAAUUCUUUAUUUACAUUUUCAUUGUGCUGUCAGUAAACGGAUUGCUUGUCAGUAAAGCUUCAGGCAUUGCAGGCAUGUGAUGUGCUGCUGAAACUUGGCCCUUACUAUUACUAUUACAAUUUCUUUCCCUCCUUUAUUUGGCAGCUCUAGUGGUUCAUAGUUAUGUACAAAGCCUCACUUUCUCAAAAAAGCAAGGAAUACAAAAAUGACAUAAUCUUUUAAUGCAGCCAGUUCAAUAUGCAUGUCAGGCGCAGUUCAACUUCGACCGUCACGACAACUGGCAGUGUGAUGGUGGUUAGGUGGCGUUGCGAACUUUUGAUGCAUGUGCCAGUCAGCCCUUUGCAGUAAACAUAGGCCACACCGUGAAAGAAUUGCCAAAAAACGAGCCUGCGGUGGCCUACUUCCUACGCUGCCAAAUUGGCUUGUUCCUCCUGCUUCAUUGGGCACUUCUUUGCGUUCAGAUGAUAAGCCUAGAUAUUAGCUGAGUGCAUAGUUCGACAGAAUAAGCAGAUACUCACUCGCUAGUAUUUUCGCAGGCUAUGUACAUGCUCGCACUCACGUGCAAUCACACUUGCUGGCACUCGCUCACAUUCCUACUCAUGCCCACUCAUACUCACCAACACUAAUUUGCUUUCAUAGUCAUUUCUAUUCACACAUACCAGCGCCCACUCUCACAUACAUAAUCAUGUCCACUCACACUUGCUGACAGUCACGUGCGUUCAUACUCACAUCCAUUCAAAAUCACUGUCACUCGCAUUGAUGGGCACUCACUCCCGUUCAUACUCGCAGCCUUCGUCGCCCACUAACGCUCCAUCGCCCACUAACGCUCCAGCUGCGAAAUAAGUGUGAAUCGAGUGUGAGCCAGUGUACUCGUGCUCGUGAGCGAGUAUGCCGACCUAUGGGAUAAGUUGAGAAGGAUAACCCGCCGUUGGGCUGCUAAGCACGAGGUCACGAGAUUGAAUCCCGGCCGUGGCGGCCACAUUUCAAUGGGGGCGAAAUGCGAAAACGCCCGUGUACUUAUAUUUAGGUGCACGUCCAAGAACCCCAGGUGGUCCCAAUUAUUCCGGUGUCCCCCACUACCGCGUGCCUCAUGAUCAGAUUGUGGUUUUGGCACAUAAAACCUCGUAAUCAAAUUUUUUAACUUGAGAAGGAUAACGGUUACUGGAGGGGCUCAAUUUUUGUUAGUUACAUUCACAUGAAGCCAUUGAAAACACAGGCAAAAUGAACGUUAUUCUUAAAAAUUGAUUUAAAUAUGGAAAUAAUAGGGAAGAAGGAAGUGAAAGUGGGCAAGAAGACAACAUGCAGGUGGUGGGCCCAAGUUGGCAUCAAAAAGGUUCAUUGAGGACUGCACAUACCCAGAAGGCAUGUACCCAGGGAGCCAACUUGGCAUCAGAGGUGUUCAUUGAAGAGCAGAAUAUACUCGGAGACAUAAGUUAGUCUAACAGUUGGUUUCAACCCCUGUUCCUAACGCUGUAACCACUAUAUAUAAACACUCCCUGGGUUAGUUUAGUGGUAAAACAUAAAUACCCCAGAAAGCGGAUGGGAAAACUGCUCCGCGGUAGCUCAAUGGUGAGAGCAUCGCACGCGUAAUGCGAAGACGGUGGCUUCGUUCCCCACCUGCGGACAGUUGUUUUUUCAUCCGUUUUCAUUUCCAUUAAUUUGUCAUUUCUUUAAUUCAAUGAGUAAGUACAAGUAAUUUCCCCUAUGUUGUGCUUGGUGUCAUUGUUUGUUGGCUUCUUAUGAUAGGACUUUUACACACGCACACACCACACACACAGGGACCCAAGUUUGUGGGAAAACGGUUAGAGACAAACAUAGAUAAAUCCCUAAAGGUGCGUGAGGUUCCCAAAGAUUGCUAAUCACAUUAAAAAGGUUCUAGUACACUCUAACUGCAGUGUCACUUGCUUGUUGCAUUGUGUGCAAUGCCACACUGCGCCUGAGGUGUGUUCUGAACUAAUUGCAAUAAAAGUUUAUGUAGUUAUAUGUUGUGGUAGUCAGAAAUGUAUAGUUCAUGCAUUAUUUUCAUGUGGCCACUGUGGAAAGCAAUGGUGGACACUAAUGAAGUGUCAUGCCUGUAUAGCAGAAAUCCUAGCACUAGCCACUAGAACCGUUGCCACUGUGUGCUGUGAAGUAUAGUGAUGUUCUGAUUACUUGUGUCUCAAAGUGUGUGACAGAGGCUUUUAGAGAAAUCAUUUUGGAACGCAUUGGGGUUGAAUGUCUUGAAUCUGUUGGUUGCCUCAAGAUUUCUGCUAAAUGGACAUGACUUCACUGCUACCAAUCCCUAAUUAUUCAAUGGCAGCAUGUGCUAUUGCGUAAAUAUUUGAACAGGUAAUUAUGAGUAGUUUAAUUAAGCACCACAAUAUGCGAAGCCAGUGAUGUCUACCUGUAUAAGUAAUCUGCUUGAAGAUACCUUCUCCGUGUUUAAAA